AUUUUUGUAGUAUAAUAAAUACAUAAUGUUUUCAAUAUUAGGAUAGAAAUUUUUUUCUUAAAAAUG
rnacentral:tRNA from 1 species